AUCUACGGCCAUAUCACCCUGAACGCACCUGAUCUCGUCUGAUCUCAGAAGCUAAAAAGACAAAACCCCUGAGAUG
rnacentral:rRNA from 1 species